rnacentral:rRNA from 1 species
GUACACGCUGUGACUAGCAUAUCAAUAAGCGGAGGAAAAGAAACUAACAAGGAUUCCCCUAGUAACGGCGAGUGAAGCGGGAAGAGCUCAAAUUUGAAAUCUUAAAGGGUUUCCCUUUACGAAUUGUAGUUUAAAGAAGUGUUUUCUGUUGAGGUUUUGGUAAAAGUUCUUUGGAAUAGGACAUCAUAGAGGGUGAGAAUCCCGUAUUUGACCUUUACUUUCAACUUUGUGAUACACUUUCAAAGAGUCGGAUUGUUUGGGAAUGCAGUCCAAAAUGGGUGGUAAAUUUCAUCUAAAGCUAAAUAUUGGCGAGAGACCGAUAGCGAACAAGUACCGUGAGGGAAAGAUGAAAAGAACUUUGAAAAGAGAGUUAAACAGUAUGUGAAAUUGUCAAAAGGGAAGCGUUUGACACCAGUGUUGUUUUUCUGAAAAUCAAUUAAAGAACUGUUUAUGCUAAGCUGUUUAGACUUUAUCAGCUAAUCUGUUUAGUUUUGAGCUUUUCUUUAAUGCACUUUUCAGUUAACAAGUCAACAUCAAUUUCUUUUGCUGUAAAAAAGCUUGAGGAAGGUGGCUUGAGAUUCGUCUUAAGUGUUUAUAGCCUCUUGCCUAUGCAGUCGGAGAGAUUGAGGUCUGCAGCGUAGAUCCUUCGGGGCUAAAUGCAUUUGUGCUAAGUUAUAGCAUUUUAUAGACAACUUGUUGACUAUGAUUUGUCUUGUAGCUUACUCGCUUAUGUUAUUUUACCUACGCUUAGGAUGUUGAAGAUGUAGCACAUCAU